rnacentral:lncRNA from 1 species
GUGCUGUUCAUCUUCAGUGAACAACAUUGAAUGCCAAAGCUCUUAAAUAACCUCCAAGCCCUAGUUAUCAAGGACACAGCAAGAUAGCAACACUUGAAAGGAAAUCCUUUUUUCCAAAGACAGAAAAUUGUCUUGCACAAAUUCACAUAUUACAUCAGUGCAAAGACAAACACAGUUGUGCAGAUCAGUGCAAUCUCAUAAAUGUAAUUUUGAUAUAAAAAUGUGGUAGGCUACCAUGAAAAUAGCUUGCCAGUGGUUCAAAUCCAAAUUGUAAGUGCAGUUCAUGCUACAUAUGUGUUCUUUAAAGAGUCGUUUGAAGGCUCUGAGUUUCACCUCAAUCUGUAAAACAGAGCAGGCUAUAGCUCGUGAAGGAGUUCCCACAGGAGCCAAAGGGGGGUGCAGAAACCAACAGCUUGAGACAGUGAGCUGCAGUGAGAUGGUUGCAUCUGCCUUUGUGUUUGCCAGUUUGCCUCAGCAUGGGAAAGUGUCUCUUCCCCGUCAGCCUCCCAUACCCCUGUGAGGCAGGCAGUCCCACAAAACAUCACGCUCUGCCUCUGACAUCCCAGUGGGUUUAGACAAUCGAGGGAAAGACCUCACCUUCAUUUCUGAGAGAUCUUCGAGAUAGGACCAGGCAGAGGAGGUGUGAAUGCUGGGUCAGGUGGGAAGGAAGCGGGCAGAGGGAGCCUGCAGGCGCGGCGAGCCCCGUCCAGCAUAAUGAAGAAACUGGUGCCAAGGCACUGGCACCACUGAGAGCUGGGACUCCAGAGCACAAACGCGUGAGGACACAAAUCAGGACCAGCAAUCUGCAAGGAUCCCGCAAAAACGGGCUGCUCCCUAAGUAGCUGGCUGUCGAUGUGUGUCUGGAAAACGGGAAAAGGAGUGGAACAAUUAAACAUUUAAGUUUCUUUUUCACAGAAGCUCUAUCCUGACACCUGGCUUAGAUUUAUUAAUGAUACCACUUUGCAUAUGAAUU